rnacentral:rRNA from 1 species
AUUGAACGCUGGCGGCAUGCCUUACACAUGCAAGUCGAACGGCAGCACGGGUGCUUGCACCUGGUGGCGAGUGGUGAACGGGUGAGUAAUACAUCGGAACGUACCUUAUCGUGGGGGAUAACGCGGCGAAAGCUGUGCUAAUACCGCAUACGCCCUGAGGGGGAAAGCGGGGGAUCGCAAGACCUCGCGCGAUUAGAGCGGCCGAUGCCUGAUUAGCUAGUUGGUGGGGUAAAAGCCCACCAAGGCGACGAUCAGUAGCUGGUCUGAGAGGACGAUCAGCCACACUGGGACUGAGACACGGCCCAGACUCCUACGGGAGGCAGCAGUGGGGAAUUUUGGACAAUGGGGGCAACCCUGAUCCAGCAAUGCCGCGUGAGUGAAGAAGGCCUUCGGGUUGUAAAGCUCUUUUGUCAGGGAAGAAACACCGGCUCUAACACAGUCCGGGAAUGACGGUACCUGAAGAAUAAGCACCGGCUAACUACGUGCCAGCCGCCGCUGUAA